rnacentral:rRNA from 1 species
AUUGAACGCUGGCGGCAGGCCUAACACAUGCAAGUCGAACGGUAGCACAGGAGAGCUUGCUCUCUGGGUGACGAGUGGCGGACGGGUGAGUAAUGCAUGGGGAGCUGCCCAAUCGAGGGGGAUACCAGCUGGAAACGGCUGCUAAUACCGCAUACGCCCUGAGGGGGAAAGGUGGGGACCUUCGGGCCUACCGCGAUUGGAUGCACCCAUGUGGGAUUAGCUAGUUGGUGAGGUAACGGCUCACCAAGGCGACGAUCUCUAGCUGGCCUGAGAGGAUGACCAGCCACAUUGGAACUGAGACACGAUCCAGACGCCUACGGGAGGCAGCAGUGGGGAAUAUCGCACAAUGGGGGAGACCCUGAUGCAGCCAUGCCGCGUGUGUGAAGAAGGCCUUCGGGUUGUAAAGCACUUUCAGUGGGGAGGAAGGGGCGAUGCCUAAUACGCAUUGUCAUUGACGUUACCCACAGAAGAAGCACCGGCUAACUCCGUGCCAGCCGCCGCCGUAAAAC